AUGUCGACUACUAUCUCAUGCAAGCUCUGUGGAGCUGAGGAUUCUUGGCAACAUUCACUUCUUCACUACAGCGUCGCAAGAUGUGUAUGGGCUCUGCGGGAUUUUGAUCUCUUUGUAGCUCUUAAUAACACAAAUGAACCAGAUGCGAAGAGAUGGAUCUUUGCACUCAUGGAGAUGCUCGCCCCGUCUGAAUUCACCCAGGUUUUGGUGACCUUAUGGGCUAUUUGGUAUGCUAGAAGGCAAGCCAAGAGUUACAGGAUUGCAAGCCCAAACAGUCGGGUGCGGUGGAUUCCUCCCACGCCUGGAGUUGCCAAGCUGAGGGUGGAUGGCACUGUUGCGAGAGACCUAAGUGAAGGAACCUUCAGUGUUGUCUGUAGGAGCUCAGAGGGAAUUUUUUUGGGUGCAUCAUGCAUAAAAUACAGAGGUGUUUCCGAUCCCGCUACUUUGGAGGCAUUGGCAUGUCGUGAAACAUUGGCGCUGGCAACAGAUCUCCAUUUGGCUCGAGUGGUGAUAGCAUCUGACUGCCAAGGAGUAGUACGAGAUAUUCAAAACCGAACGGGAGGUAUGUAUGCUCCUAUAGUAAAGGAAAUCAAUGAGAGAACUACAAACUUCCAGCAGUGUUCCUUCAUCUUUGAAGGACAAGAGACUAAUGUUGAGGCACAUAGCCUCGGUAAACAUGCUUUUGGUCAGGGGUCCGGGCGCCAUGUGUGGCUUAUCAACCCGCCAAACAUCGAUUGUAUUCCCAUAAACAUUGUCUUUGAAUAA
rnacentral:rRNA from 1 species